UACGUAGGGUGCGAGCGUUAAUCGGAUUUACUGGGCGUAAAGCGUACGUAGGCGGCCCGUUAAGACAGGUGUGAAAUCCCUGGGCUCAACCUAGGAAUUGCGCUUGUGACUGGCGGGCUCGAGUACGGUAGAGGGGGGUGGAAUUCCUGGUGUAGCAGUGAAAUGCGUAGAGAUCAGGAGGAACACCGAUGGCGAAGGCAGCCCCCUGGGCCUGUACUGACGCUCAUGCACGAAAGCGUGGGGAGCAAACAGG
rnacentral:rRNA from 1 species